UAGGGAAUCUUCCGCAAUGGACGCAAGUCUGACGGAGCAACGCCGCGUGUGUGAAGAAGGUCUUCGGAUCGUAAAGCACUGUUAUUAGAGAAGAACAACCGGUAGAGUAACUGUUACCGGCUUGACGGUAUCUAACCAGAAAGCCACGGCUAACUACGUGCCAGCAGCCGCGGUAAUACGUAGGUGGCAAGCGUUGUCCGGAUUUAUUGGGCGUAAAGGGAGCGCAGGUGGUGAUUUAAGUCUGAUGUGAAAGCCCACGGCUCAACCGUGGAAGGUCAUUGGAAACUGGGUCACUUGAGUGCAGAAGAGGAAAGUGGAAUUCCAUGUGUAGCGGUGAAAUGCGUAGAUAUAUGGAGGAACACCAGUGGCGAAGGCGACUUUCUGGUCUGUAACUGACACUGAGGCUCGAAAGCGUGGGGAGCAAACA
rnacentral:rRNA from 1 species